UACAGAGGCCACAAGCGUUAGUCGGAAUCACUGGGCUUAAAGGGUGCGUAGGCGGGAGUGAAAGUGUUUUGUGAAAUACCACGGCUCAACCGUGGAACAGCAGGGCAAACUACACUCCUUGAGGCAUGUAGGGGCGGGCAGAACAGUAGGAGGAGCGGUGAAAUGCGUAGAUAUCUACUGGAAUGCCGAUGGUGAAGACGGCCCGCUGGGCAUGUCCUGACGCUGAGGCACGAAAGCGUGGGGAGCAAACAGG
rnacentral:rRNA from 1 species